rnacentral:rRNA from 1 species
UACGUAGGGGGCGAGCGUUGUCCGGAAUUACUGGGCGUAAAGGGUGCGUAGGCGGCGGUACAAGUCCAUUGUGAAAAGCCCGGGCUUAACCUGGGAGGUGCAGUGGAAACUGUAUGGCUUGAGUGCAGGAGAGGAAAGCGGAAUUCCUAGUGUAGCGGUGAAAUGCGUAGAUAUUAGGAGGAACACCAGUGGCGAAGGCGGCUUUCUGGACUGUAACUGACGCUGAGGCACGAAAGCGUGGGGAGCAAACAGG